GAUGAAGAACGUAGCGAAAUGCGAUAAGUAGUGUGAAUUGCAGAAUUCAGUGAAUCAUCGAAUCUUUGAACGCACAUUGCGCCCCUUGGUAUUCCAUGGGGCAUGCCUGUUCGAGCGUCAUUUGUACCUUCAAGCUCUGCUUGGUGUUGGGUGUUUGUCUCGCCUCUGCGUGUAGACUCGCCUCAAAACAGUUGGCAGCCGGCGUAUUGAUUUCGGAGCGCAGUACAUCUCGCGCUUUGCACUCAUAACGACGACGUCCAAAAGUACAUUUUUACACUCUUGACCUCGGAUCAGGUAGGGAUACCCGCUGAACUUAAGCAUAUCAAUAAGCGGAGGA
rnacentral:misc_RNA from 1 species